rnacentral:rRNA from 1 species
CCCUACGGGGCGCAGCAGUAGGGAAUUUUCGUCAAUGGGCGCAAGCCUGAACGAGCAAUGCCGCGUGAACGAGGAAGGUCUUCGGAUCGUAAAGUUCUGUUGAAGGGGAAAAAGAGCGGAGAGAGGAAAUGGUCUCCGAUUGAUAUUACCCUUCGAGGAAGUCACGGCUAACUACGUGCCAGCAGCCGCGGUAAUACGUAGGUGGCGAGCGUUAUCCGGAAUGAUUGGGCGGAAAGGGUGCGUAGGCGGCCUGCUAAGUCUGGAGUGAAAGGUACUGGGUCAACCGGUACAGGCUCUGGAGACUG